rnacentral:rRNA from 1 species
AGUGAACGCUGGCGGUAGGCCUAACACAUGCAAGUCGAACGGCAGCACAGUAAGAGCUUGCUCUUACGGGUGGCGAGUGGCGGACGGGUGAGGAAUACAUCGGAAUCUACUUUUUCGUGGGGGAUAACGUAGGGAAACUUACGCUAAUACCGCAUACGACCUACGGGUGAAAGCAGGGGAUCUUCGGACCUUGCGCGAUUGAAUGAGCCGAUGUCGGAUUAGCUAGUUGGCGGGGUAAAGGCCCACCAAGGCGACGAUCCGUAGCUGGUCUGAGAGGGUGAUCAGCCACACUGGAACUGAGACACGGUCCAGACUCCUACGGGAGGCAGCAGUGGGGAAUAUUGGACAAUAGGCGCAAGCCUGAUCCAGCCAUACCGCGUGGGUGAAGAAGGCCUUCGGGUUGUAAAGCCCUUUUGUUGGGAAAGAAAAGCAGCAGGUUAAUACCCCGCUGUUCUGACGGUACCCAAAGAAUGAGCACCGGCUAACUUCGUG